UACGGAGGGGGCUAGCGUUGUUCGGAAUUACUGGGCGUAAAGCGCGCGUAGGCGGAUCUGCAAGUCGGGGGUGAAAUCCCGAGGCUCAACCUCGGAACUGCCUUAGAUACUGCGGGUCUCGAGUCCGGGAGAGGUGAGUGGAAUUCCUAGUGUAGAGGUGAAAUUCGUAGAUAUUAGGAAGAACACCAGUGGCGAAGGCGGCUCACUGGCCCGGUACUGACGCUGAGGUGCGAAAGCGUGGGGAGCAAACAGG
rnacentral:rRNA from 1 species